CGGGUGCCUGUGCUGGGACUGCGGGACGGCCCCCAAGGGCCCCCGCUUCUGUGGGGUUCGCCGAGAGCAUUCCGCCUGUGGCCAGGCUUUGAAGCCGCUUUAGGAAGGAUAAAGCCUUAAUCUAAACUUAAAGUAUUGUUACCCUCGCCUGACUUAAAUUUUAUCUGGAAACUCAGCUCAGUGUGUUUGUGAUGAAAAAAAAGAAAGGACUUUGGAAUCAGAUCCAAAAUUUAAUAAGCAUAGCAUUUGCUGAGUGCUCACUAAGUGCUAGGGACGCGGCUAAGUCCUUUACAUGCACUGUCAUAACCAUAAUGCUAAGAUAGCAUUGCCGGAUAAAAUACAGAAAUGCCCAGUUAAAUCCGAAUUUCAGAUAAAUGUAGAAAAUUUUUAAUAUAAGAAUGCUCCAUUUGAGAUGUACUUCCUCUUUGUUUUAUUUUUGUUUUGUUUUAGUUGUUGUUUUUUGCUAAAUCUGCCGACCUUAUCCUAACUCUUACGAAUUCCUACUUUACAGAUAAGGAAACUGAGGCGUAGAAAAAUAACUUAUGAAAUAUAAGGUAAGUGGCAGAACUAUCAUUAUGAUCCUGAUAAUUAAAUCUCUGAAUAUCUGUAUCUACAUCUUCCAAAAAUAGAAUAGUGAUACCUAUCUCACAAAUGUGUUGAAUGAAUUAGAAGAAAAUGUAUAUGAAAGAGACCUGAACAGUGACUGAUUAGCAUUGUAGGUGCUAACAGAAGUUCACUUCCUUCCUGAACAAUUAAUGUUAACUGGAUAUUCACUAAGUGCCAGGCUCUGAGUAUAAAGUGAGCUGAGCAGGCUGCCUGCUGAUAAUAAAGUCAAGCUGUGGGGAUGACAGAGAGAUACAAGAAUUAUAGGCAUCAGAAUAUGUAAAAACAAAAAUGAAAGUGUUCGACCCUCAUUCUACAGAUGAAAACGCGUUUAUAUGAUAUGUCCAAAGUCAUCUGCUGGUUCCAUUUGUUUUUCAUUGCACUGUCCUGAAGGGCCUCAUAGCUGCAUUCAGAGUAAAAGACCAUAAGGAGAAUGCACAAUAUGCUUCAAUUGAAGCAAGAGUUGCUUCAUUUUCUCCCUUCAAAGCAAUCACUGUUGCCCCCCCAUGUGGAUGAAUUGAAGGAAGUUCCUGGAGGAAGAGUGUAGCAGAAAGGGAGCAGAGGAAAGAAGGAAGGGAAGAUGGACAGAAAGUGGCUUCUGGAGAGCUACAGCUUCCUCAGACCCCAGUCUUGUUUCAUCUCUGCUGGCCGUUGUCAUGGUGGCCAACAACGUGGCCAAACAGACCUCCACAACUCUAGAAGAAUCGCAGAAUAUGAGAGCUGAAAGUUCUGUAUACUUUAUAGAUAUAUCAUCUAGGAGCCCAAUCUAUCAUGGAUGCAAAAACCAAGCCAGAAAAGUUAUAUAAUUUGUCCGAGGUCAAGUAAUGAAUCUACAGCAUCCUCAUCCACUAAGUUCUCUCUGCUUUUCCUCUCUACUGACUGAUUGACCCCAGGGAGUCUGGGCACGUUGAAAUCAUCUCUGCCAUUUCCAAUCAGGAUCAAACGCAACUACCAACGAAAAAGAAAAACCAACUGGAGAAAAAAGGAAACAAUGAUUUUUAGCCUACUACUUGUCAGAAAGGGCGCAUGGGAAGCAGAUGGUUGUCAUCCGGCACAGAAUGACUCCAGAUGACUGUACAGUUCCCGAGUUGAGCCAGAGGAAGCUCAGACCCAGCUGGCUGUGGACGGACACUCAGUGAAACCUGUGACCCACCUUGAGUCCGAGUGCUUAAGAGGCAGCAGCAUGCUCCUGAGGAGGAGGAUCCUUGACAAAAGAAAGGUGAAAGUCAUGGAGAUAACCCUCCUGUACCUUGAAGAGCUUCCAUCUCUCCUGGAGAGUUCCCUUCCAGGGCUAAAACCUGGAAUUCCAGCCCCCUGGUACCUAGUUGCAUAUUCUUCGUUGUGGGUCCUUCUAGUUGUGGCAUGUGGGAUGCUGCCUCAGCGUGGUCUGAUGAGCAGUGCCAUGUCCACGCCCAGGAUUCGAACCAACGAAACACUGGGCCGCCUGCAGCGGAGCACGCGAACUUAACCACUCGGCCACGGGGCCGGCCCCUUAAGGAGACUUUCAAAUGUAUCAAAUGUUUAGGAAAUUGUGAAUUCUUUUUUUCUUAUGCUAACUGCUGACUUGUGUUGGGGAGAAAGGACAGAAAAGAGCAGGCAGAAUUUUACCUAAAGCAGAACACAGUUACUUUGCUAGCAUUUACUUGAAUUGUUGACAUUUUG
ensembl:lncRNA